GGUUAAGUUAGAAAGGGCGCACGGUGGAUGCCUUGGCACUAGGAGCCGAAGAAGGACGGGACUAACACCGAUAUGCUUUGGGGAGCUGUACGUAAGCGUUGAUCCAGAGAUUUCCGAAUGGGGGAACCCACUAUCUUUAGUCGGAUAGUAUCCUUACGUGAAUACAUAGCGUGAGGAAGGCAGACCCAGGGAACUGAAACAUCUAAGUACCUGGAGGAAGAGAAAGAAAAAUCGAUUUCCUGAGUAGCGGCGAGCGAAACGGAAAGAGCCCAAACCAAGAAGCUUGCUUCUUGGGGUUGUAGGACACUCUAUACGGAGUUACAAAAGAAAGUUAUAAAUGAAGCGGUCUGGAAAGGCCCGCCAAAGACGGUAACAGCCCGGUAGUUGAAAUAGCUUUCCCUCCAGAGUGGAUCCUGAGUACGGCGGAACACGUGAAAUUCCGUCGGAAUCCGGGAGGACCAUCUCCCAAGGCUAAAUACUCCCUAGUGACCGAUAGUGAACCAGUACCGUGAGGGACAGGUGAAAAGCACCCCGGACGGGGAGUGAAACAGUUCCUGAAACCGUGUGCCUACAAGUAGUUAGAGCCCGUUAAUGGGUGAUAGCGUGCCUUUUGUAGAAUGAACCGGCGAGUUACGAUUUGUUGCAAGGUUAAGCGGAAAAAGCGGAGCCGUAGCGAAAGCGAGUCUGAAUAGGGCGCAUAAGUAACAGGUCGUAGACCCGAAACCAGGUGAUCUACCCAUGUCCAGGAUGAAGGUAAGGUAAUACUUACUGGAGGUCCGAACCCACGCACGUUGAAAAGUGCGGGGAUGAGGUGUGGGUAGCGGAGAAAUUCCAAUCGAACUUGGAGAUAGCUGGUUCUCUCCGAAAUAGCUUUAGGGCUAGCCUCGAGGUAAAGAGUCAUGGAGGUAGAGCACUGUUUGGACUAGGGGCCCUUCUCGGGUUACCGAAUUCAGAUAAACUCCGAAUGCCAUGUACUUAUACUCGGGAGUCAGACUGCGAGUGAUAAGAUCCGUAGUCGAAAGGGAAACAGCCCAGACCACCAGUUAAGGUCCCCAAAUAUAUGUUAAGUGGAAAAGGAUGUGGGGUUGCUUAGACAACCAGGAUGUUGGCUUAGAAGCAGCCACCAUUGAAAGAGUGCGUAAUAGCUCACUGGUCGAGUGACCCCGCGCCGAAAAUGUACCGGGGCUAAACAUAUUACCGAAACUGUGGAUGAACCUCUUUAGAGGUUCGUGGUAGGAGAGCGUUCUAAGGGCGGUGAAGUCAGACCGGAAGGACUGGUGGAGCGCUUAGAAGUGAGAAUGCCGGUAUGAGUAGCGAAAGAAGGGUGAGAAUCCCUUCCACCGAAUAUCUAAGGUUUCCUGAGGAAGGCUCGUCCGCUCAGGGUUAGUCGGGACCUAAGCCGAGGCCGAUAGGCGUAGGCGAUGGACAACAGGUAGAGAUUCCUGUACCAGUGCUAAUUGUUUAACCGAUGGGGUGACACAGAAGGAUAGGGAAUCGCACGAAUGGAAAUGUGCGUCCAAGCAGUGAGUGUGAGAAGUAGGCAAAUCCGCUUCUCGCGAAGCAUGAGCUGUGAUGGGGAAGGAAAUUAAGUACGGAAGUUCCUGAUUUCACGCUGUCAAGAAAAGCCUCUAGGAAGAGUAGUACUGCCCGUACCGCAAACCGACACAGGUAGAUGAGGAGAGAAUCCUAAGGUGAGCGAGAGAACUCUCGUUAAGGAACUCGGCAAAAUGACCCCGUAACUUCGGGAGAAGGGGUGCUCUAUUAGGGUGCAAGCCCGAGAGAGCCGCAGUGAAUAGGCCCAGGCGACUGUUUAGCAAAAACACAGGUCUCUGCAAAACCGUAAGGUGACGUAUAGGGGCUGACGCCUGCCCGGUGCUGGAAGGUUAAGAGGAGUGCUUAGCUUCGGCGAAGGUACGAAUUGAAGCCCCAGUAAACGGCGGCCGUAACUAUAACGGUCCUAAGGUAGCGAAA
rnacentral:rRNA from 1 species